GCGGGUAUGGCGAAAUUGGCAGACGCACCAGAUUUAGGUUCUGGCGGGGAGACCCGUGGGGGUUCAAGUCCCUCUACCCGCACCA
rnacentral:tRNA from 1 species